rnacentral:rRNA from 1 species
UACGUAGGGCGCGAGCGUUGUCCGGAAUUAUUGGGCGUAAAGAGCUCGUAGGCGGCUUGUUGCGUCUGCUGUGAAAUCCCGGGGCUUAACCCCGGGCGUGCAGUGGAUACGGGCAGGCUGGAGGCAGGCAGGGGAGAAUGGAAUUCCCGGUGUAGCGGUGAAAUGCGCAGAUAUCGGGAGGAACACCGGUGGCGAAGGCGGUUCUCUGGGCCUGUUCUGACGCUGAGGCGCGACAGCGUGGGGAGCAAACAGG